GUCGAGCGGUAAGGCCCUUCGGGGUACACGAGCGGCGAACGGGUGAGUAACACGUGGGUGAUCUGCCUUGCACUUCGGGAUAAGCCUGGGAAACCGGGUCUAAUACCGGAUAUGACCACGAGAUGCAUGUCUUGUGGUGGAAAGAUUUAUCGGUGCGAGAUGGGCCCGCGGCCUAUCAGCUUGUUGGUGAGGUAACGGCUCACCAAGGCGACGACGGGUAGCCGACCUGAGAGGGUGACCGGCCACACUGGGACUGAGACACGGCCCAGACUCCUACGGGAGGCAGCAGUGGGGAAUAUUGCACAAUGGGCGAAAGCCUGAUGCAGCGACGCCGCGUGCGGGAUGACGGCCUUCGGGUUGUAAACCGCUUUUGACAGGGACGAAGCGCAAGUGACUGUACCUGUAGAAUAAGGACCGGCCAACUACGUGCCAGCAGCCGCGGUAAUACGUAGGGUCCGAGCGUUGUCCGGAAUUACUGGGCGUAAAGAGCUUGUAGGCGGUUCGUCGCGUCGUUUGUGAAAACUUGGGGCUCAACCUUAAGCUUGCAGGCGAUACGGGCGGACUAGAGUACUUCAGGGGAGACUGGAAUUCCUGGUGUAGCGGUGAAAUGCGCAGAUAUCAGGAGGAACACCGGUGGCGAAGGCGGGUCUCUGGGAAGUAACUGACGCUGAGAAGCGAAAGCAUGGGUAGCAAACAGGAUUAGAUACCCUGGUAGUCCAUGCCGUAAACGGUGGGUACUAGGUGUGGGGCUCCUUCCACGGACUCCGUGCCGUAGCUAACGCAUUAAGUACCCCGCCUGGGGAGUACGGCCGCAAGGCUAAAACUCAAAGAAAUUGACGGGGGCCCGCACAAGCGGCGGAGCAUGUGGAUUAAUUCGAUGCAACGCGAAGAACCUUACCUGGGUUUGACAUACACCGGAAACCUGCAGAGAUGUAGGCCCCCUUGUGGUCGGUGUACAGGUGGUGCAUGGCUGUCGUCAGCUCGUGUCGUGAGAUGUUGGGUUAAGUCCCGCAACGAGCGCAACCCUUAUCUUAUGUUGCCAGCGCGUAAUGGCGGGGACUCGUGAGAGACUGCCGGGGUCAACUCGGAGGAAGGUGGGGACGACGUCAAGUCAUCAUGCCCCUUAUGUCCAGGGCUUCACACAUGCUACAAUGGCCGGUACAGAGGGCUGCGAUACCGCGAGGUGGAGCGAAUCCCUUAAAGCCGGUCUCAGUUCGGAUCGGGGUCUGCAACUCGACCCCGUGAAGUUGGAGUCGCUAGUAAUCGCAGAUCAGCAACGCUGCGGUGAAUACGUUCCCGGGCCUUGUACACACCGCCCGUCACGUCAUGAAAGUCGGUAACACCCGAAGCCGGUGGCCUAACCCCUUGUGGGAGGGAGCCGU
rnacentral:rRNA from 1 species